rnacentral:rRNA from 1 species
CACUCCUACGGGAGGCAGCAGUGGGGAAUUUUGGACAAUGGGCGAAAGCCUGAUCCAGCAAUGCCGCGUGUGUGAAGAAGGCCUUCGGGUUGUAAAGCACUUUUGUCCGGAAAGAAAUCCUUGGCUCUAAUACAGUCGGGGGAUGACGGUACCGGAAGAAUAAGCACCGGCUAACUACGUGCCAGCAGCCGCGGUAAUACGUAGGGUGCGAGCGUUAAUCGGAAUUACUGGGCGUAAAGCGUGCGCAGGCGGUUUGCUAAGACCGAUGUGAAAUCCCCGGGCUCAACCUGGGAACUGCAUUGGUGACUGGCAGGCUAGAGUAUGGCAGAGGGGGGUAGAAUUCCACGUGUAGCAGUGAAAUGCGUAGAGAUGUGGAGGAAUACCGAUGGCGAAGGCAGCCCCCUGGGCCAAUACUGACGCUCAUGCACGAAAGCGUGGGGAGCAAACAGGAUUAGAUACCCCUGUAGUCCC